rnacentral:lncRNA from 1 species
UAUCAGGCUACCGACUCCCUCUCUUGGCGGCUCUAGGACUUCACUGAAGUUAUUAAAUAUCACUGACCACCACCAUGUCCUGUCUUUCCAGUUCCGGUUCUCUGGUUUCCACACUCUCAUAAUUCUUCAGCUUCACUGGGACCUCCAGGACUGGAUGCCCACGACUUUCCACUAAUUACCCUUCCCCUCCUGUCUCCGCUUUCCACCUUUCCUGGCAUAGAUUCCAUGGCCCAUCAUUUUGGAUCUUUUAAAACAAGUUCAGCCCUCUCGCCCCUCUAGUAAUCUAGGAAACUCCCAACCCUCAGUAAUCCCAACUCUGACUUCUGGGCUCGUACUCAGGCAGCUGAGGAGAAAGACCACACAAAGACCACACAACAGUGACUGCCUUCAGCGUACCCUCCCCCACCCUGGCUACCAACAGAUAUGGUGAGGAAGGACAGCUCCUGACAUAAUCGGACAGACUGGUCUUUUACCAUCCCUUUAAUACUUAUUUAGUGGAGGAUCAUCUCCUUCCCUGGAAGACAGUUCAGCAGACCUAUAACUUUUCUUCUCUUAGCAAACAGUCCUACACUCACUUUUGGUCCCAAACCCAUUCUAGAGGAAAUGACCAGAACGUCUGGAUGAGACUUAACAUUGGGGCUUCCCACCUGGAGCAUUUGGGCACGUUCAGGUACGAGAUCUGACCAGUGCGGCUGGAUGCCCUGACCAGCGCCAUCCGACAGACUACCUCCAGCCCUCCAAAGGUCCACAGCCACCGCGGCGCUCCCAAGCAUCAUCCUCAGCCUCUUUGCUCCCGGCUCAGGAACGCAAUUCUCAGCUGUCCUGCUGGGCCCCCGGAAGCCCCCUGCACGAGGCUGAGGUCCCCAUCGGGUGAUGUGGGCCCUCCCUCUGGGAUCUCACACGCUUUGCAGCUCAUUUCACAUCGACUGGAUCUUGUGGCCAAUUCCAACAACUUGGUUCACUUUGAAGAGAACUCAGUACCUGCCCCGGGAUUCUGCAGCUCACUGAGGAGCGGCGCUUCGGGCCUUCCGAGACAACUCCAAGUCAGGGCAGUGGUGUCUGAAGGUUCGGGGCUCUCUCUGCCCCCUGAGUAGCUGGGUAACCUCAGGCACGCUGCUUAACUUCUGUGCGUCUUAUUUCCUCCUCUGCAGAAUGGGUUCACAAUGGUCAUACUUCUCGGGGAGGUAACGAGGACUGAACGAGCCGAUGCCGGCCCAGUGCUGAGACGAGCACCUGAAGCCCGGCGAACCCUAAGUACACAUCCGCCAUCCGCUGUUAUUACUCUCUCCUCCCUCCAUCAGCCAGCAGCAGCUCAGCUCCGUCUCGGGGUGGCUUCCCUCAUUUUAUUGAAAGAAUAAAGCAACCAGAAAAGGAAGCCUUCCUCCUCUUGCC